UCCGUAGGCGGAAGAUUAAGUCAGUGGUGAAAUCCUGCAGCUUAACUGUAGAACUGUCAUUGAUACUGGUUUUCUUGAAUAUAGUUGAGGUAGGCGGAAUGUGUAAUGUAGCGGUGAAAUGCUUAGAUAUUACACAGAACACCGAUUGCGAAGGCAGCUUACUAAGCUAUGAUUGACGCUGAGGUACGAAAGCGUGGGGAGCGAACAGGAUUAGAUACCCUGGUAGUC
rnacentral:rRNA from 1 species